AACAAGCUGCAGAAACGGCACGCAAGCGCUGCUCAGAGUCUGCGCCGGAACUGCUCUCUAUGCGAUUGCGCAACACCUUUUCCGCCGAAAGAUGAGCCAGAAGUGCGGUUCUCGCUGCCUUCUGGGAGGUUGAGAUUCGGAGGCAAGGGGAGGAGGCAGGGGAGCUCUCUUUUUAUCAGGGAGUGAGGAAACACAGGCAAAGAGGAACAUGUUAAGUGACAUCAUGGGGAUGUAACAGGCAAAUUCUGAUGGGGAAACUACAGAAGUCCACUUUCUUCAACAAAAUUGCAAGAGCUGAGGUGAAACAUAUGGAUUGUAAGACUUAAGAAGGAUUAACCAACUACAGUGGACCCUUUUUGGAUCCAGAGGGAAGUUGUGAAAAUUUUAUGGGACACCUGGGUUAAGUGAACACAGACUGGAUGAUAUUAAGAAA